UUCAAAACCAUACUGAAAACCAUUGCGAAAAAUUAAAUAAAAAUUUUCAAUACAUAUGUAUGUACAUAUAUCUGCAUGUCACAUAACAAUGAUUGUGUUUAUGUAUAUGACAUACAUUUAAGUAUAUUACUACUUUGGGAAAAAGUAUCGAAACUAUGGUUAUUGUUUAAAAGCUAUUUAAUUUUUCUUCUAAAUUAGUUUUGUUUUUGAAAUAUCCAAAAAAGUCUUUAGAGCCUCUACCCCUAGGGUAGAAGCGUAUUAUAACUUUGUCCAGACGGGAAACGAAACAAAACGAGACAUCUCUGACCCCAUAAAGUAUAAAUAUAUUCUUGAUCAGCGUCAACAGUCGAAACACUAUAGCCAUGUUCGUUUGUCUGUCCGUAUGAAUAUCCAGAUAUCAGAAGUUAUGAGGAAUAGAACUAUGAUUAUUAUCAUCACUUGUUAUUUUUGCACCCAGAUCGGCACCACAAGUAAAAAAAUAAAUCAAAGCAAACGUUGUUUUGCAGCUAGAGUCGAUUUUUGGAACGUUCGACAAUGAUCAAUUAUGAUCCCUGAUAUAAAAGUUAUAUAUACAUAUACAUAUGUUAUUCAAUAAAAAGUUGUAUAUGGAAAAACGGCUACUGUUUUCAUGUAAUGUAAUACUGUAUCGAUGUACCAAUUGCAGUCCUCGGUAUUUUUUGCAAUUUCUUUUGCUAUAUUUAAAAGGUACAUUUUAAGAAUAAUACCGCACUCUUUUGCUAUUUUCUGCUUAAAAAUGUGUAGCGGGUACCUCACAGUCGAGUAUACUCGAUUAUAAUAUAACUGUUGGUUUUGGUUUCAAUCUUUCCAAAAUGCUGUCUACCAAGCAAUCAUUAAGUUCAGCGCAUAGCUUAAAAGUAAAUCUUACCAAUUCACACAAAUCCGGUGUGUCCGAAAUAAUUUGCAUCUAUUUGAUGACUAAAUUAUCUGAAAUUAUACACAAAAUGGCUUACACUGAGCAUUUCCAUGAGUUACACUGUCGUACUGUCGAAAAUUGAUGAUUUUCAAACUUAAAUUUUUAGAUUUUUUUACCUUGAACGCCUAACUUCAUGAAUCUUUAAAUAUAAUUUACUAUUCAACUCAAAUUUAUUUUACAAAUAAAAAAAAAUUGGUGCCGGCCUCAAUGUCUAGUAAAAGCGAUAUUUCGUUUUAAAAGAACGAUAAGCUUUAACAAAAUUUUUUAAAGCGAUUAAGCUACCCUGUGUAUCAUCAGCUUUUGUUUUAUUUACAAU